CCUACGGGUGGCAGCAGUGGGGAAUAUUGGACAAUGGGGGGAACCCUGAUCCAGCCAUGCCGCGUGUGUGAAGAAGGCCCUCGGGUUGUAAAGCACUUUCAGUGAGGAAGAACGCCUGGUGGUUAAUACCCAUCAGGAAAGACAUCACUCACAGAAGAAGCACCGGCUAACUCCGUGCCAGCAGCCGCGGUAAUACGGAGGGUGCGAGCGUUAAUCGGAAUUACUGGGCGUAAAGCGCGCGUAGGUGGCUUGAUAAGCCGGUUGUGAAAGCCCCGGGCUCAACCUGGGAACGGCAUCCGGAACUGUCAAGCUAGAGUGCAGGAGAGGAAGGUAGAAUUCCCGGUGUAGCGGUGAAAUGCGUAGAGAUCGGGAGGGAUACCAGUGGCGAAGGCGGCCUUCUGGACUGACACUGACACUGAGGUGCGAAAGCGUGGGUAGCAAACAGGAUUAGAUACCCCGGUAGUC
rnacentral:rRNA from 1 species